AUGGCCGCAGUAUUUUGACUGUGCAAAGGUAGCAUAAUUAUUAGUUUUUUAAUUGAAAGCUUGUAUGAAGGGUUGGACGAGAUAAAAUCUGUCUUUAUUUAAAUUAAAAUAGAAUUUAACUUUUAAGUCAAAAGGCUUAAAUGUUUAUAAAAGACGAGAAGACCCUAUAGAUCUUUAUUAAAUUUAAGCUUUGAUAAUUUAAGAUUACUUUAAUUUAAAGCUUUAAUUUAAUUUUAUUGGGGUAAUAUAAAGAUUAAAUAAAUUCUUUUUAUUAAUUACAUUAAUUUAUGUAUAUAUGAUCCAUUAUUAUUGAUUAUAAGAUUAAGUUCCCUUAGGGAUAACAGCGUAAUUUUUUUGGAGAGCCCAUAUCGAUAAAAAAGUUUGCGACCUCGAUGUUGGAUUAAAAAUUAGCUUGGGUGUAGAAGCUCAAGAUUUUGGUCUGUUCGACCAUUAAAUUUUUACAUGAUCUGAGUUCAGACCGGCGUAAGCCAGGUCGGUUUCUAUCUUUAUUUAAAUAAAAUAUUUUAGUACGAAAGGACCAAGUAUUUAAUAUA
rnacentral:rRNA from 1 species